AUAAAAUGUUGCUUAAUGCUUUAAGGAUUUUCAAUGAUCUUAAGAAUAGAGGUUAUUCCCCAGAUAGGGUCAUGUAUACAACAAUGAUUCACGGCCUUUGUGAGAUGGGAUGGAUUCGGCUUUGGUUUGAGAUGAUCAAUAAGGGCAUUCUUCCGAAUGAAUACACUUAUAAUUCACUGAUUCAUGGGACUUUUAAGAAUGGAGAAUUUAGAAAGGCUAGGAAACUGUAUGAUGAUAUGC
rnacentral:misc_RNA from 1 species